AUAAUCGUCGCCGCGAACGCGAACGUGAAGUCGAUGACUAUAACCAUUUUCCCGCCUUCACUGCAUAGGUAAUGAAGACUAAACUACCUAGGAAGUUCAAGCCAACAGGGAUCACCAAGUAUGAUGGCAAGCAAGAUCCAGUCCAAUGGCUACGAUCCUACUCACUAGCAGUACAAGCAGCUAGGGGCAACGAUGACACAAAGGUCAUUCACUUCGCCAUAUGCAUGGAACCUGCGCCGUUAACAUGGCUCGAGUCACUCAAACCCAAAUCGAUUGACUCCUG
rnacentral:lncRNA from 1 species